UACGAAGGGGGCUAGCGUUGCUCGGAAUCACUGGGCGUAAAGCGCACGUAGGCGGCUUUUUAAGUCAGGGGUGAAAUCCUGGAGCUCAACUCCAGAACUGCCUUUGAUACUGAGAAGCUUGAGUCCGGGAGAGGAUGGUGGAAUUCCCAGUGUAGGAGGUGAAAUUCGUAGAUAUUGGGAAGAACACCGAUGGCGAAAGGCAGCCAUCUGGACCGGCACUGACGCUGAGGCGCGAAAGCGUGGGGAGCAAACAGG
rnacentral:rRNA from 1 species